CUUUUCGAGGUAGGAGUCGACUCCUGUGAGGUAUGGUGCUGGGUGCAGAUGCAGUGUGGCUCUGGAUAGCACCUUAUGGACAGUUGUGUCCCCAAGGAAGGAUGAGAAUAGCUACUGAAGUAAGUUGAAAAUUCCCUCUCAAAAAGGUUUAAAGCCAUUGGAUGUGCCACAAUGAUGACAGUUUAUUUGCUACUCUUGAGUGCUAGAAUGAUGAGGAUCUUAACCACCAUUAUCUUAACUGAGGCACCCAAAAUGGUGAGUUGGGGAACAUAGAGAGUACACCUAAGUUCACAUGAAGUUGUUUCUUCCCAGGUCCUAAAGAGCAAGCCUAACUCAAGCCAUUGGCACACAGGCAUUAGACAGAAAGCUGGAAGUUGAAAUGGUGGAGUCCAACUUGCCUGGACCAGCUUAAUGGUUCUGCUCCUGGUAACGUUUUUAUCCAUGGAUGACUUGCUUGGGUAAGGACAUGAAGACAGUUCCUGUCAUACCUUUUAAAGGUAUGGAGAGUCGGCUUGACUACACUGUGUGGAGCAAGUUUUAAAGAAGCAAAGGACUCAGAAUUCAUGAUUGAAGAAAUGCAGGCAGACCUGUUAUCCUAAACUAGGGUUUUUAAUGACCACAACAAGCAAGCAUGCAGCUUACUGCUUGAAAGGGUCUUGCCUCACCCAAGCUAGAGUGCAGUGGCCUUUGAAGCUUACUACAGCCUCAAACUUCUGGGCUCAAGUGAUCCUCAGCCUCCCAGUGGUCUUUGUAGACUGCCUGAUGGAGUCUCAUGGCACAAGAAGAUUAAAACAGUGUCUCCAAUUUUAAUAAAUUUUUGCAAUCCA
ensembl:lncRNA GAS5 growth arrest specific 5